rnacentral:rRNA from 1 species
GACAGAGGUGGCAAGCGUUGUUCGGAUUUAUUGGGUGUAAGGGCAGGUAGGUUGUUAUGUAAGUCUGGUGUGAAAGCCCACGGCUCAACCGUGGAGGGUCAUUGGAAACUGGGGAACUUGAGUGCAGAAGAGGAUAGUGGAAUUCCAAGUGUAGCGGUGAAAUGCGUAGAGAUUUGGAGGAACACCAGUGGCGAAGGCGACUAUCUGGUCUGUAACUGACACUGAGGCGCGAAAGCGUGGGGAGCAAACAGG